AACCGGAUUAGAUACCCGGUAGUCCACGCCCUAAACGAUGUCAACUAGGUGUUGGGGACCUUGAGUUCUCGGUACCGGAGCUAACGCAUUAAGUUGACCGCCUGGGGAGUACGGCCGCAAGGUUGAAACUCAAAGAAAUUGACGGGGACCCGCACAAGCGGUGGAGCAUGUGGUUUAAUUCGAAGCUACGCGAAGAACCUUACCAGGUCUUGACAUCUUGCGCUAACCUAAGAGAUUAGGCGUUCCCUUCGGGGACGCAAUGACAGGUGGUGCAUGGUCGUCGUCAGCUCGUGUCGUGAGAUGUUGGGUUAAGUCCCGCAACGAGCGCAACCCUUGUUACUAGUUGCCAGCAUUCAGUUGGGCACUCUAGUGAGACUGCCGGUGACAAACCGGAGGAAGGUGGGGACGACGUCAGAUCAUCAUGCCCCUUAUGACCUGGGCUACACACGUGCUACAAUGGCCGGUACAAAGAACAGCUAACCCGCGAGGGUGUGCAAAUCUCUUAAAGCCGGUCUCAGUUCGGACUGCAGUCUGCAACUCGACUGCACGAAGUCGGAAUCGCUAGUAAUCGCGGAUCAGCAUGCCGCGGUGAAUACGUUCCCGGGCCUUGUACACACCGCCCGUCACACCAUGGAAGUUUGCAAUGCCCAAAGUCAGUGGCCUAACCAUUUUGGAGGGAGCUGCCUAAGGCAGGGCAGAUGACUGGGGUGAAGUCGUAACAAGGUAACC
rnacentral:rRNA from 1 species